UAUCCCAUUGAGGCUCCAGAGCUCAGGGCAUCUCACGGGCCUCCUCUAGAAUUAACUAGAGCCAUAAAUCAAAACGACGUUUGAGAAAUUUCCAGCUGCCUCAGACAGCAGGCAGCGGCUCCAGCCCAGACAGGGGAAAUGGCAUUUAGAUGGGGGAAAUGGCAUUUAGAAUGGAGAGGCAAGAGCACUGGCGGGGAGCAGCCUCCAGACCAGCUCAGACGGGGGUGAGGGCCAAGGACAUUGCUUCAGAGGGCUCUGUGCCGAGGGAGCCGCAGGCAUAUCCUCUCCGCCUCUGGUGCAUCCAGUACAGGCAGCAUCUUAACUCCUGGCACGUGCUGAGAGCCCUCCACGGUUGGCAAAGAGCUUUCCCACCUGUUGUCUCAUCUGAUUUCAAAACAGCGCAGGGAGGCAGGCGCUACGAAUGAAUACAAGAAGCUCAAUGGUGAGGCUCCGGGCAUCUGCAGGGGGCAGGGGAAGUCAUGACUUGUGGCAGCCCGAGAAUGGACGAAUGUGGCAGGACUCAGGGACCAGACAGUGAGAUGAGCUGAGGCACAGUGGCAAGAGGGGACCAGGUAGGCUAUGUUAAGAUUCUGGGUCGGGGGAAGGAAGGAGGGUAAGAGGAGCUGAUGUUGAAGACCAGUUAUGUGCUAAAUCCAGAGCCAAGUGGCAGCGGUGAACCCUCAAAUCCCACAAGAACCUAAGGAGGUAAGUAGUUUGUUUUUUGGGGGUUUUGGGUUUAUUUUAUUUUAUUUUAUUUUUGGAGAUGGAGUCUCGCUCUGUCACCCAGGCUAGAGUGCAGUGGUGCGAUAUCGGCUCACUGCAACCUCCACCUCCUGGAUUCAAGCGAUUCUCCUGCCUCAUCCUCCCAAAUAGCUGGGAUUACAGGUGUGCCACCACCAUGCCCAGCUAAUUUUUGUAUUUUUGGUAGAGACGAGGUUUCACCAAGUUGGCCAGGCUGGUCUCAAACCCCUGACCUCAGGUGAUCCUCCUGCCUCAGGCUCCCAAAUUGUUGGGAUUACAGGCAUGAGCCACCGCGCCCAGCCAGAGGUAAGUAGUUUUUUAAGCCCCACUUUACAGAUGAGCAAACUGAGGUUAACUGACCUGGUCAAGGUCACACAGCCAGCAAGUGUCAGAGCCAAGAAUUGAACCUAGAUUCAUCUGGCUUCAAAUUCUGUGCUGUUCUUCUCCACUAUCAGAUCUGCUAAACAUAAGAACUAAAUUUGACUGGGCACUUGGCAGUGCACCCAGCAGUGCCCUAAGGGCCGUACCUUCAUUAUCUCCUGUAGUCUGUCCAAUAACCCCAAGAGGUGGGUUCUCCUACUCUUUCCAUUUCACACAUGAAGAAAUUGAGGCCUCCAACCCUCAGCUCUAAGGAGCAGUGCUAGGGCUUGCAGCCAGGCAGGAUGACCGCAGAACCUCUCUUUACCCACCACUCACUCAGGUCCCCUGUGCUUGGAGCCCUGAGCUAGCAGCUACGUGUGAAAAGCUUGGCAGCUGUGCUUUCCAGAGACGUGAUGAUGCCCCUGAAUGAAUUGCUGCAGCUGGGUUCACAUGGCUCCCGGGGCCACCACCACCACUGGCCAGAAGGAAUCUUUGUGGAUUUAGGGUAGCUCAUUUCUGCCCCAGAGCCCCUGAAAGUGGACCUAAGAAUGGAUACUUGGGGCAAUAGCCUUCCAGGCAGAGUGAGCCUCCAGGACAAAGACCUUGUGGCCGGAGCGACCCAGGGAGGCCUCUCAGCUGGAGCCAGGUGACCGUGCUGGGCUCCUGGGAGCGGGCUCUGAGAGCUGCCACCCUGAGUGACGAUAUCAGAACCCCCAUGGAGAAGCAAACAAUUCAGGGGCUUCCAGGCAAGAGAGAGGAAGAUCAUUCUCACAUCGCCUGUCAUCUGUCUCUGUCAGGGGAAGGGGCAGGUCUAAAGCCCUGAGCAGAAGUGGGGGUAGGCCCCAUACCUUGGACUCGGGACCAGAAAGAAAGUCUGUUUUUUCAUGGCUUCUGUCAGUGGAGCCCAGGGUCACCUCCCCCCCACACCCCAAAAGUGGCUUUGAGAGGCUGCUGACAGGCUGCGUGACACAGUUUGGCAGGUCUCUUAGCAAAGUGCACAUGUCACUAGCAUGCCAGGUGCUGGAAGGGAGGAACAGGCACCCAGCCCAGCUCUCCUCCCUCACCUCAGGGUUCUCUGGCUAGAAGCUGCACCAGCAGAGGGGAUAGAGUGGCUAGAACACAGUUACUGCGUAGUGCCGGUCACCCUGGGUCUGGAUGCUGCGAUGGUCCCAUUUAAUAGCUCAAACUACCGCAGGAAGGGUCUCCAGAGGUCCUGGGAGGUGCUGGUGGAGCAGAGAGGUGGUAGCAGGCAGGGGGUCCUCCCCACAGCCUCUCAGGAGACUGGGAGGCAGCUCUGGUUCCCUCUCCCAGCCCUAGGGCUCAGAAGGAGUGGGGUAAAGGAAGUGUCUGCAGCCAGAAUCCCGCCCAUGAGGACAAACUUCUAUGUAAUCUAGGGCACAACUGGAAGGGGCUGAUUUUACCUGGAAAGCAGGAGAAACUUAACGCCUGACACAAAUAUAGAAUUUACAUAUUUCCCAGCUAAUAGCUGCUUGUAGCUUAUGCUAAUUUGGCAUCAAUUCUCUCUUUGUUAUGAUUAAAGACCAUAACACGGAGAGCAUUAGCAGUGAGCCUAAUGAGGAACUGCAGGAUAGCAUGACGGCCAGGGUUCUAUGAGAGCUGCAGGGCAGAGUGAUGACCUCACAGAUGAGAAGGCUGAGUCUGAGGCUAAGGCUGAGAGUCGCAAAAUGUCUGGCCCAGGGUGGGUCAGGGCAGAGCUGGGACCGGAGCUCACACUCCCUACUCUCAUUUUCCCUCCUUUCUGCACUGCCGCGGCUCAAGUCCUGGCCUUCAACACAGCACCCACUCAUGCAGCCCCCAACCCGGCCCUGACCCCAGUUCUUAACCAAGCAGCUCUCAGAACAUAUAUCCCAACCCUGGCUGAAAGCUUCCUUCAGGUCUUGAAUUUGACAGGAAUUUGACCAGGAGGUUCUACCCCAAUUCCGGCUGAAUUUCAGUCCCUAAACCAAACCCUGACACCAAUCUCCCCAGCCCACACCAGUCCCAGCUCUGGCCCUGGGCGCGGGAGUGUCCAGCACCUAACCCUCAGCAAAGCCCUCCCUAGGAUGAGGUCUGGGUCCACCACCCCUUCUCCCCAGGGCAGGGUCUGAGGGAUUAGGUGACAUAUCUAAGGUCACACAGGAAUAAGUAGCAGAGUUGGCUGUGGAGCUCAGGUCCCUGUGGCUCUGGAGUCUCCAGGUGGCGGUGGGCAGCAGGAGGCCUGGAAGGUGCCGGGGGAUGGUGGCCCCUCCACAGGCACUCCUCUGACAGCACAUGGCCUCACAGGAGCCCCACAGCGUCUCGAGAGGUGGGCAGCUCAGAGAUCGUUCACCUCCAUUUUGCAGAUUAGAAGACUGAGGCCCAAGGGGAAAGGCUAAGGUCAGUGGCAGAGCAGAGCAAAAGACCAAGUCCCCUGACAGUCCACCCAAGGCUCUCCCAUGGCACCACACUGCCUCCUUCCCACCCUGUAGGGGCUGAGCAGGCAAGUCAGGUAUGGAGGAAAAAAUAACGCAGGAAACUGCAAGAUCACAGACUCAUUUCCAAUCCUCAUUCCUGGAGAAGUGCCCCAGAAUGGCAAUGCCAGCUCAGCUGCCUUUAAUCGGGAGGCUGCCUGGGCUCCAGAGCAGCCAAUCCAGAGUCCCUGCUUGCCAACAGUGGGGUAUUGAUCAAACGGGUUACCUCCCUGCACUCCCGCUUCCCUGCCUAUAAGAUGGGACCAUGUGGCUCCCCAAGAUGUUGCUGAGUGUUGAGAUCUGAUGAUGGAUGCACAGCCCCAGCUCCGCACCUGGCUUGUUGUAGGAGCUCCCUGACUUUAGUUCCCUCCACCAUCUACACCACCCCGUGUCUGGGAAGGGUCACCCUUGGGCAACACCUCUAGAGCCAGCUGACCUCCCAGUACCAUCUACUCAGUUCUGGAACUUGGGCUGAGGAGGUGCCUUGUUCAUGCAAAUAGUGGUGGGGUGUGAAGAUUGACACCCUGAGUCCCUAGGAGCAACCUGGAAGACCAGCUGAGAGUAAUUAGCCCUGUCCACCUGCCCACCUCUGGAACACUCUGGUGGGACACGCAGGUGUAUCUGGCAAGGCCCUGGGGCCUGUGUGGAAACAUCCAAAGCUUGGAGUAGCCUUGAAGGCUGAAGAAUGAAGAGUGACCCCGGGGCACAGGACCCGGCAGGGGGGCCAAAGAAGGGGCCCCUGGGGUGAUGGAGACAGUGCUCAGGCCCCAGAAGGAGGAGCAGUAGCAGUCGAGGUUCCCUGGGUAGGCAGAGGGGAUCCCACCAGGGAAAGACAAACGGCCAGAUGGCAGAGGGAAGGCACCGGCUGCGGCCUCCACUGGGAACAUUCAUUAAGCCUUCAAUUAGAGCAGGCCUGCCCCUGUCAGCUCCAAAGGGCACCCAGGGCUCCAGUUGCCCUGCCCAAACCAGGAGUUAAUAACUCACCCUGUAAUGGACUCAACAGAGAAACAGCCAGGAGCACCCACUCAUCCAUCUGCCUGCCUACCAGGGCUCUGGACAGGAGGGAGAGCUGGGGACACCUCUUUGGAUCCCUUUAUCCCCCAGAAGCCACAUCACAGGCCAGCUGGAGAUGGGAAAGCACAGCAGUCCCUCUUGUCCCUCGGGACUGGAGUGUUCAUGUACUAUUCCCAGAAAAGAAGGAAGCAGAAUCUCUGCAUCUCAGGGCAGGGAGGCUCCAGGAAGCUUUAUUUACUGUCCUGGAUGAUUUACUGUGUGUGGUGCUGGGGACAGAGAUGGGUAAGACCCCAGCUCUGCCCUCCAGGAGUCCACGUUCAGCUUAGGCAGGGCUGGCCAGGGCAGGAAGUAGGAGGGAGAAAAUAGACAUGAAUCUGACCAUAACCAUAGGCUUCUAUGGCCAGUACUGUCAACAACAGCAGCACCUUCCAAGAGGUAUGAGAGGAGAGUCUCAGCUCGGGGUUAAGGGAGAGCCAUGCAGAGGUGGCCAGUAAACUGAGAGGUCAGGGUCAUAUAGUCCCACUCCUUGUUUUACAAGUGGACAACCUGAGGCCCAGAGAGGGCAGGUGACUGGCACAAGGCCACACAGCUAUUCAGGGUCAGAGCCAGAAUUAGAACCCUGUCAAGAGUGAGCCUCUCCAUGCUAAAGCAGGCAAACUGAGGCCUGGAAAGUCACUUAAUUAGGACAUUGAAUGGAACCCUCUGUCACCCACCCUGUCCUGAGAAAGAUUGGCCCUCCAAGGGUCAUUUCACAUGACAAGCAUUGCCUGAGGGUACACAUGCGGUCUGUUCUACUGAGAGCACUCCGGAGAGCAGUGGCUCCCCCAGCCUCCCCUGGGUGCCUGGCUCCUCCUGUCCCUUUCAGCCUGCCCCUUCGGCCUCCCCAUCUCCUACUCAGGACCCUCAACCAUUCCCCCAGCACCUCAGGCCAAGGCCAACUGGGUGGGCUGCCAAGAAUGGUCAAGCUCCAACCUUCCCAGAACUGGCCAGGGCUAGGACUUUUUUUUUUUUUUUGAAAGGGAGUCUCGCUCUGUCGCCCAGGCUGGAGUGCAGUGGCACAAUCUCGGCUCACUGCAACCCCCUCCUCACGGGUUCAAAUGAUUCUUCUACCUCAGCCUCUCAAGUAGCUGAGCUAAUUUUUUGUAUUUUUAGUAGAGAUGAAGUUUUGCCACGUUGGCCGGGCUGGUCUCAAACUCCUGACCUCAGGUGAUCCACCUGCCUCAGUCUCCCAAAGUGCUGGGAUUACAGGCGUGAGCCACCGCGCCCGGCCCAGGGCCAGGCUUUUAAAGCGUGAUUGUGACUCAGCCUGCACCAGAAUCACCCAGGGAACUUGUUAAAAUGCAGAUUCCUAGGUACUGCCCAGGACCUGGUGAUUCAGAGUCUCUGGGAGUGGAUCAUAGGAAUCUGCAUUUUAGAAUAAACUCCCUGGUUUUUUUUUUCCCCAAAAAAUGAUAUUAGUGGGUACAUAAAUGUAGAAAAGUGUAGAAGUAAUAGGUGAAUUUCUCCAUGCGUUUUCACAAACUCCACAUCUGCUUAAUGUCUACCCAGGUAGAGAAAUAGAAUAUUUACAGGCCCUCACAAACCCCUCAUGUCCCUUCCAGUUACUAAGCUGUCCAAACAAGGCCAGUAUCCUGACUCCUGACAGCUCAGUUCUGUUUUGUCUGCAUUUGAAUUUCACGUGUAUAGAAUUAUACAGACACCUCUGUCUGGCUCUUUUUUACUUGACAUUAUUUGUGAGACUCAUUCAUACCAUUAUAUGCAGUUGUGGUUUGUUUAUUCUCAAUGCUGAGUAGCAUUCCAGCCUAUGAUUGUACCACAAUUUGUAUGCAUUCUGCUGUUGAUGGGCAUUGGGUUGUUUCCAGCUUUGGGAUAUCAAAAGAGGGCUGCCAUGAAAAUUCGAUGACAUGUAUCUCUGUGGACAUUUGUAUACAUUUCUGAUGGAGAUAUGUCGAUCAGCAGAAUUGUGGCAUCACAGAUAGGGUUUGCUUGUGUUCAGGUUUAACAAAUACAGCUGAACAAUUUUCCAAAGUGGCUGUACCAAUUUAGACACCCACCUGCAGUGUCUGAGAGUUCCAGUUGAUGCACAUCCUCGUCAGCACUGGGCGCAUCUCUCUUUUCAUCCCAGCCAUGCUUGUGGGUGUGGAGUGAUACCAUUUUAUGCUUCAACUUGCAUUUCCCUGAUGACUAAUGAUGUUGAGCUCAUUUUCUUAUGUUUAUUGGCCAUUUGGGCAUCCUCUUUUGUGAAGUGCCUCUUCAGAUCUUUUGCCAACGUUUUAAUCAGAUUGUCUUUUUCUUACUGAUUUAUAGGAGUUCUUUAUAUAUUCUGGGUUCUUAUCCUUUCCUGGCUAUGUGUAUUGCAAAUAUCUUCUUCAACUUGCUGUCUUGCCUUUUUACUCUUAAUGAUGUAUUUUGAUAAACAAAUAUUUUAUUUUAAUAUAGUCCAAAUAAUUUUUUCCCUUUU